rnacentral:rRNA from 1 species
GUGCCAGCAGCCGCGGUAAUACGAAGGGUGCAAGCGUUACUCGGAAUUACUGGGCGUAAAGCGUGCGUAGGUGGUUUGUUAAGUCUGAUGUGAAAGCCCUGGGCUCAACCUGGGAACUGCAUUGGAAACUGGCUGACUAGAGUGCGGUAGAGGGGUGUGGAAUUCCCGGUGUAGCAGUGAAAUGCGUAGAUAUCGGGAGGAACAUCUGUGGCGAAGGCGACACCCUGGACCAGCACUGACACUGAGGCACGAAAGCGUGGGGAGCAAACAGGAUUAGAUACCCUCGUAGUCC